CCAUAGCUCAGUUGGUAGUAGCGCAUGACUGUUAAUCAUGAUGUCGUAGGUUCGAGUCCUACUGC
rnacentral:tRNA from 2 species